GAAUGUAUAUUUCUUAAAUGAGAUUUGUUACUGAUUUGCGAAGAGAUUUGCUUCCUUCACUCUGUCGCAAAGAGGCCAACAGCCCACCACAGGAGUCUCUGACGUUGCCACGGUUACCAAGUAACAAACCAUCGUAAACUAAAUGGAGACGGAAGUGAGUUGGAUCUUUGAUGCCAACCGGCUGCACAACAUUACCACAGAAAAAAAGAACUUUCCUGAAGAUUUUGUACUGCUUUAAAAAAAAAAAAGUGAACUCAAUUAUAUUAAUAACAAGCGAUGGAAGGCAAAAACAUGAGGCCCCUUGGCCCUUGGAUCUCCUCGGUCGGCACUUGUUUCCGUUUCUCAUCAGCGAACCUCGAUGAAUCGUCACUCUCAUUGGGGGACCGGGGAUGUGUCUUCGCCGGUUGUUUUCCACGACACCCCAAAACAGAAGUCCACUAAUUCCGGUCCAAAGGCUAAGAAGGGCCUUUCUAAAGAACAUGCUUGCUUCUCCAAGCAGAUGACCCAAAAGCAGAUUCGCAGAGAAUAUGUGGCCGCUGUGGAGAAGAAGCUCCAACAGCGUCCUCUGGCUACGUUCCCGCACUAUAGGGAACACAUGACCCCCCAAUUAUUCGACGAGGUGGUGUCCAUUCUGGACCCGGAGCUGAGCGUGAACAGAGCCGCUACACUUCCCACGACUACUGGAGACCACGUGGAGGAGGAAGACGAAGAAGUAAACAGAGCAAAACACAAGUAAAUGUGUAGUAUUAAUAUAAUCUAAAUUAAUACAAAUUGUCUGUAAUUAGGCUUCAGAUUAUAUUUCAAUCAUUGUAAAAUAAGCACAGUGCCAAACAAACCCUUAAAUUCUACUAAUGGAAAUGUUAUUAAAAAGGGUCAUGCAGUCAAAGUGAAUCAACUGAGAACACACAAAGACAUGAAAGUAGCUGCCAAACCUGUCAGCAGAUGAUUUGCAGGACAGUCGGAGCUAAAACAAAAAGCACGACAGUGUUGAGAUCAUCAUACAAUGGAUUUAUUUUUGACUCUUUCACUGCUGUGAAAGAAGGAAUUUCUCAGGACAAGAAUGAAAUCCGUUCACAGACACAAACAAGCUUUAAAAGUCUCUCAGGCAAUUCAGCUGUAAAAAGAGCAAAAGUACACAAAAACUCAGACCCACAAAGUGUCGUAAACACUUUUCUGAUUAAAAGGUGCAUUAAAAGGACUCACGGGACAUGAGCAGGGAGCUUUUGUGUCACAUGAUAAGAUGAAGACUGUGUGAAACAGUUGGUUUACUGACUGAAUCAGGAGCUAAAAAAGACGUAUGAAACCAUAUCAAUGAGGUGUUAUGUAACACACAUACUUUAAAAAGAGGAAGCAAAAAAAAGAAUUGUCUGCAAUGUUUUAGUUUCAGUGCAGAGGAAACAUGAAGGCUCAGUGUGUAAGCAGAUGUUCAACAGUUGAUGCCACGGCAUUGUUCACUCCUCUUCCAUGUUUGUCACAAGCUUGUUCUGCGUAGCGCCAAUAUAUGAUUUAUCUUCAUUUGGCACGAUUAGAGGUGUGAAAUAACAACUCAAACACAUUUGUUGAAUAAAAACUUUACACAAUUA